GAACAGUUGGGCCUACAUUUUCUACUAGUAGAUGCAGGGUCAGUGGUCUAAUGCCUAGGUCCCUGAUCCACUUGAAGUUGAGUUUUGUGCUGGAGAUGCAAAUUAAAGCUACACUGAGCUUCCAUCUCAUUCCAAUCAGAAUGGCAAUUAUCAAGAAAACAAGCAACAAUAAAUGUUGGUGAGGAUGUGAGGAAAAAGGUGCACACACAUAUACAUUGCUGAUGGGACUGCAAAUUUUUGCAACCACUAAGGAAAGCAAUAUGGAGAUAACUCAGAAAACUUGGAAUGGAACCACCAUUUGACCCAGUUAUGCCACUUCUUGGUUUAUACCCAAAGGACUUAAAAUCAGGAUACUACAGUGACACAGCCACAUCAAUGUUUAUGGCACCUCAAUUCACAAUAACUAAACUAUGGAACAAACCUAGGGACCUUUCAACAGAUGAAUGGAUAAAGGAAAUAUGGUAUAUAUACACAAUGAAAUAUUACUCAGCCAUAAAGAAGAAUGAAAUUAUGGUAUUUGCCAGUAAAUGGAUGGAACUGGAGGCUAUCAUUAUUAAGUGAAAUAAGCCAAUCCCCAAAACCCAAAGGCCAGAUGUUUUCUCUGAUAUGUGAAUGCUACUAAGGGAGGAAGGAAGAAUACAAAUUCAAUGGAUUAGACGAAAGGGAAUGAUUAGAAGGGAGGAGGUGGAUUAGCAAGACAGUAGAAUGAAUCAUACAUAAAUUUCCUAUGUACAUAUAUGAAUACAUGACCAGUGAAACUCCACAUCAUGUACAACCACAAGAAUGAGAUUCUAAUUAGAAUAAGUUAUACCCCAUGUAUGUAUAAUAUGUCAAAAUAUAUUCAACUGUCAUGUAUAUCUAAAAAGAACAUACAAAAAAAGAAAAAUUAAAAACUGUAAAGAGAACCAAGACUGAAAAAAUACACAAAAAUACCCAUGAAGUGUGGGAUAACUACGAAAGCCAGAGCAUCCAUGUAUUGAGUAUACAAGAAAAAAAAGCGAGAAAAGAGCAGAAGAAAUACUUGAAAUUAUUAUGACCAAGAAAUUUCCCAAAUUACUGUUAGACACCAAACCACGGAUCCAGAAAGCUCAGAGAAUAGCAACCAGAAUAAAUGCAAAGAACCACACCGAGGCAUGUCCUGUCAAACCACAGGAAAUUAACAUGAGAAAAAAAUUAUAAAAGAAGUCCUGGGGUUGAGGGAAAUUCCUUACCUUUUGAGGAAAAAAAAAUGGAAUCAUAUCCUUUUCAUCAGAAAACAUACAAGCAAGAAGAGAGGGAAGUAAAAUAUUAAGUGUUGAGAGAACAAAACCCCUGAACUGGAAUCCUAUACCUAGGAAAUUAUCCUUCAAGCAUGGAAUAAUGGAGAAAUUUUCAGUAAAACAAAAAUUGAGGAAAGUUGUCAGUAGAUCUGCCUUCCAUGAAAUGUUAAAAGAAGUUUUCUAGAGAGAGAAAAAAGUAAUACAGAUGAGAAAACUGGAUCUACCUAAGGAAAAGGAAAAUCCGAUUUUAUAAUCCAAAUUGGGUUGAAGAGUUGUAGUCGCCCACUGAAGAAUUGUGAAGCAUUGUUGAGUAAGGAAACACAUUUUUUCCUCCCUUGCUAAAGACCUUAAGACAUGAUUCUAACUCUCCACCUAGAGUUUAGCAUUUAAGUAAAGUUUUGCUGUUUAAGGAGAGAAUUUCUCCUAAUAAUGAAAUAGGUCACUUCUUACAGCAUUCGGAUAAGUCUGUUCUACCAUGAAUCCAAACAUGUUCCCUUUUCUGACUUUUCUCCUCUAUUUCUCUUUCAUUCUUGUUAUAACUCAUCACAGUAUUAUUAAGAGCCAGCUUUUAAAGUGUGAGGACCUUUUAUCACUCUAGCAGGUGAAGGUCUUCACAGAUAUUUGCUUUGUGUUGCC
rnacentral:lncRNA from 1 species